UUUGAUGGAGGCAUAGGUAAACCUGG
rnacentral:piRNA from 2 species